rnacentral:rRNA from 1 species
AUGGAAGGUGCCAGGGCGGCGGAGGUGGCCGGCGGCGGCGGGGCCGGGGAUGUGCAGAUUAAGGGCGCCAAGGAGAGCGGCCAGGCCGCGCAGCAGCAGCAGCUGCUGCCGACGGGCAGCGAGCCGGUCGAGAUGCCCGCCACGCCGCUGCCGCACGCCCGCGAAAUCGAGUGGUCCGAGCAUUUCUCCUUCUUCAACUCCAUGGGCACCGGCACCGGCACGGACGGCGUGAUGGGGCCGGCCAGCGUCGGGAUGUCGCGCUCCGAGUCGUCCAGGCCGGACAGCGUCACCCAGCAGCAGCGCUGCCUGGCGGGCAGCAACGCCGACGAGAGGGUGGAGGAGCUCACCGUCAGGAACUGCAUCAGCUCUGAGGCUCACCAGCCUGCUGCCUCUGCCGGUGGGAGCACUGGCGGCACGGGGGAGAGGCCCGCCGUUAUGAGGGGCCUCUGGGGUAACUUCACACGGAUGGCGUGGAGGACCGCCGAUGCCGCUAGCAGGGAAGCCUUGGCGGUCAGCCUUGGCAACGCCAUGGGGUCUCACAACAUUGAUGCUUCUGGCAAGGGAAUGCCAUUUGACCGCGGCGAAAAUGGUAAUACCGAGUUCAAUAUGUCAUUUGGUAAUCAGCAGCAGCUGCAGCAUAUCUUGUCUUCACGGCUGAAUCAGAGCGAGCAGCAUGUCUUGUCUUCAUGGCAGAAUCAGAGCGAGCAGCAUGUCUUGUCUUCACGGCAGAAUCAGAGCGAGCAACAUGUCCUGUCUUCACUGCCGAAUCAGAGCGAGCAUAAUGUCCUGUCUUCACGGCCGAAUCAGAGCGAGCAGCAUCUCCCGUCUUCACGGCAGAAUCAGAGCGAGCAGCAUAUCAUGUCUUCAUGGCCGAAUCAAAGUGNNNNNNNNNNNNNNNNNNNNNGGCUGAAUCACAGUGAGCAGAAUAUCCCGUCUUCACGGCCGAAUCAGAGUGAGCUGCAUAUCCCGUCUUCACGGCCGAAUCAGAGCGAGCAGCAUAUCCCGUCUUCACGGACGAAACAGAGCGAGCAGCAUGUCCUGUCUUCACGGCCGAAUCAAAGCGAGCAGCAUGUCCUGUCUUCACGGCCGAAUCAAAGCGAGCAGCAUAUCCUGUCUUCACGGCCGAAUCAAAAUGAACAGCGGUCUGAAAGGGAUAAUGGUCUGAAAGUGAGUAGCUUCUCAAAUAGAAUUAUUGACCAGAUGAGGAGUAAGACUUUGACACCUUCAUCUGGGCUUCAGGGUUCCCCCUUUAAGCCUGUAUUGAAGGGUAAAAGGGUUACCUACCAAGGUCCACACGAGGAGAUCCAAGUUCAAGCUAAUGCAAGACCCAGAGCCCCUAUGGAUAAGAUCCCUAAGAUUCCUAGCUCAACACAUGAUUCUGUGGCCAGAUUGGAUGGUACACUUUUCAGCAGUGGUGGAAAUGUUUCCGAAUCUCAGUAUGAGGGAACAAGCCUGAGGGAACUAAUUAAGCCCGCGCGCCAAGCGAUGAGCAAGUUUGAGAAAAUGCAGUUGUUUAAGCAGAUCCUUGAUCAUGUAGACAAAUCCCAUGCACAGGGUGUAACCUUACAGCAUUUGCGCCCGUCGUAUUUUAUAAUAUCAUCCCCAAACCAAGUAAGAUAUACCGGUUCUUACACUAAACAAGAUUUAUCAACCCCAGCCAAACCGGAUAUGGCCGCAGAUGAUGUUUUUAACAGAAAACGAUGCUUCGAUCAGAAAACUUUGCACCAAGAGUGUAAUGGCAAUGGACAUUCAAUCCUGAAGUAUCAGAAGGUUGGUGAACAAGGUUCUGUUGCCGUCAGGCGACCGAUACAUCCCUUCCGGACUGACCACAAAGGGGCCAACCAAAGUGAAGGUGCUGAUCUAGGUGCUUUAGGACAGGGAAAUUCUAGUUGCACCGUCGGAGGUCGUUCUAAGUAUGGCGAACCUUACUAUGGUGGUAAUGCAUCUUAUGGCCAACGUUUUCCUAAUUAUGGCAACCAAGAAUCAGUACUUGAAUUGAGGAUGCUAGAAGAUAGCUGGUACAGAAGCCCGGAAGAGCUCAAUCAAUUGAAAGGCACAUCCCCAUCCAACAUCUACAGCCUUGGGGUUCUUUUAUUUGAGCUCUUUUGCUGUUGUGAAACAUGGGAGCUGCAUUGUGCUGCAAUGUCAGAUCUUCGCCACCGGAUCCUGCCUCCAAUUUUUCUUUCAGAAAGUCCCAAGGAGGCUGGCUUCUGCCUUUGGCUAUUGCAUCCUGAUCCUUUUUCUCGACCAAAAGCAAGAGACAUUCUAGGAUGUGACUUGAUAAAUGAGGGUCGGGAUUUAUCGGUGUUAGAUAAGGCACCAGCUGCUAUCAAUGAGGAGGACACAGAGUCUGGUUUGUUACUGAAUUUUCUGUCUCAACUGAAAGAAGAAAAGGAGAUGCAUGCUGCCAAGUUAUCAGCAGAUCUUGCAAGCUUGCAGACUGAUAUUGUAGAGGCUGAGAGAAGACACUCGUUUAGGAUGGGGUUCAGUUUAGGGGACAUGGAUGUACCAGCAAGUUCUAAUGAUGUGCCAGGUACUUCAUCAAAUGCCCUGAGAGGGGCAUCGUUGUCAGGUUUGCUAACACCACCAGGCAGGUCAGGCAUAUACGAGGAGAGGGUGAUGAAGAAUUUGCAGCAGCUUGAAAAAGCAUAUUACUCCACGAGGUCCACCAUUGACACAUCUGAGACUAAUGUAAUUAAGCGUUCCGAUAAUGAUGCUUUGAGGGUCCGUGAAAACUUUAACCACAGGGAUGCCGAUGCUAUGAAUGGGCCAACAGACCCCCUUGGAUGCUUUUUUGAUGGUCUAUGCAAAUAUGCCCGGCAUAGUAGGUUUGAAGUACGAGGGAUUUUGAAGAAUGCUGAUAUACUUAACUCUCCAAAUGUGAUCUGUUCUUUAAGUUUUGACCGUGAUGAAGAAUAUUUUGCUGCUGCUGGGGUUUCAAAGAAAAUUAAAAUAUUCGAAUUCGAUGCUCUUUUAAAUGAUCGUGUUGAUAUUCAUUAUCCUAUAGUAGAGAUGCCUAGCAAGUCCAAGCUUAGUUGUGUCUGUUGGAACAACUAUAUAAAGAACUACUUGGCAUCAACAGACUAUGAUGGCACUGUUCAGCUAUGGGAUGCAAGCACUGGCCAAGGAUUCACACAGUUUACAGAGCAUCGGAAAAGAGCUUGGUCUGUGAGUUUCUCAGAGGUGGAUCCAACUAAAUUGGCAAGUGGGAGUGACGAUUGUUGUGUGAAAGUUUGGAAUAUUAACCAGAAAAAUAGCGUGGACACAAUCAGAAAUGUGGCCAACGUAUGCUGUGUACAGUUCUCGCCAUACUCCUCUCGUAUGUUAGCCUUUGGCUCAGCUGAUUACAAGACAUACUGUUAUGAUCUGAGGCAUACAAGGAUCCCCUGGUGUACCAUUUCUGGACACGGGAAAGCUGUCAGCUAUGUAAGAUUCUUGGAUGCAGAAACGCUUAUAUCUGCCUCAACUGACAAUACCUUGAAGAUAUGGGAUCUCAACCGGACUAAUCCUAAUGGAUUAUCUACUAAUGCUUGCAGUCUGACUUUGAGUGGUCAUACCAAUGAGAAGAAUUUUGUAGGCUUAUCCGUUCACGAUGGAUACAUAACGUGCGGUUCUGAAAACAAUGAAGUAUAUUCUUACUAUAAAAGCUUUCCCAUGCCAAUAACUUCUCACAAGUUUGGUUCAAUUGAUCCAAUAACCGGACAAGAGACCAAUGAUGAUAAUCAGCAGUUUGUGUCGAGCGUUUGCUGGAGAGGAAGGUCGAAUAUGGUGGUGGCCGCCAACUCUAGUGGAAGCAUCAAAGUCCUUGAGCUUGUUUGA